GACGAACGCUGGCGGCGUGCCUAAUACAUGCAAGUUGAGCGCUGAAGGGUGGGACUUGUACCAACUGGAUGAGCAGCGAACGGGGGAGUAACGCGUGGGGAAUCUGCCUUUGAGCGGGGGACAACAUUUGGAAACGAAUGCUAAUACCGCAUAAAAACUUUAAACACAAGUGUUAAGUUUGAAAGAUGCAAUUGCAUCACUCAAAGAUGAUCCCGCGUUGUAUUAGCUAGUUGGUGAGGUAAAGGCUCACCAAGGCGAUGAUACAUAGCCGACCUGAGAGGGUGAUCGGCCAAAUUGGGAAUGAGACACGGCACAAACUCCCACGGGAGGCAGCAGUAGGGAAUCUUCGGCAAUGGACGAAAGUCUGACCGAGCAACGCCGCGGGAGUGAAGAAGGUUUUCGGAUCGUAAAACUCUGUUGGUAGAGAAGAAAGGUGGUGAGAGUGGAAAGCUCAUCAAGUGACGGUAACUACCCAGAAAGGGACGGCUAACUACGUG
rnacentral:rRNA from 1 species